rnacentral:rRNA from 2 species
CAGCCGCCGCGGUAAAACCAGCACCUCAAGUGGUCAGGAUGAUUAUUGGGCCUAAAGCAUCCGUAGCCGGCUCUGUAAGUUUUCGGUUAAAUCUGUAUGCUCAACAUACAGGCUGCCGGGAAUACUGCAGAGCUAGGGAGUGGGAGAGGUAGACGGUACUCGGUAGGAAGGGGUAAAAUCCUUUGAUCUAUUGAUGACCACCUGUGGCGAAGGCGGUCUACCAGAACACGUCCGACGGUGAGGGAUGAAAGCUGGGGGAGCAAACCGGAUUAGAUACCCGGGUAGUCCCAGCUGUAAACUAUGCAAGCUCAGUGAUGCAUUGGCUUGUGGCCAAUGCAGUGCUGCAGGGAAGCCGUUAAGUUUGCCGCCUGGGAAGUACGUACGCAAGUAUGAAACUUAAAGGAAUUGGCGGGGGAGCAC